rnacentral:rRNA from 1 species
AGCGAACGCUGGCGGCAGGCUUAACACAUGCAAGUCGAGCGGGCAUCCUUGUGGUGUCAGCGGCAGACGGGUGAGUAACGCGUGGGAACGUGCCCUUCGGUUCGGAAUAACUCAGGGAAACUUGAGCUAAUACCGGAUACGUGCGAGAGCAGAAAGGUUUAUCUGCCGAAGGAUCGGCCCGCGUCUGAUUAGCUAGUUGGUGAGGUUACGGCUCACCAAGGCGACGAUCAGUAGCUGGUCUGAGAGGAUGAUCAGCCACACUGGGACUGAGACACGGCCCAGGCUCCUACGGGAGGCAGCAGUGGGGAAUAUUGGACAAUGGGGGCAACCCUGAUCCAGCCAUGCCGCGUGAGUGAUGACGGCCUUAGGGUUGUAAAGCUCUUUUCUCCGGGACGAUAAUGACGGUACCGGAGGAAUAAGCCCCGGCUAACUUCGUG